rnacentral:misc_RNA from 1 species
GUUGUAUAAUACAUUAAUUUAUUUUUAGAUUCAUGAUAGAUAGGUAUUAAAACCCCAACACAAUUGUAAUCUAUCAUAUGGAAAACAGAAGAAAAAUUUAAUGCAAGAGCACUUCUUGGAAAACUAGGUAAAUGGUUGCAAGAAAAAUCCAUCAAUUUUGGGAAUUGUUUCACCUUCAAUGGUUACCAAGACAAUAGAAUCCUGAUGAUGGCACUGCCAAGCUUGAAUUGAAGUUUAGCUUUGGGGACUUUGUUGCUAUGGAGAAAUCUUCACAACCAAGUGGUUCUUUCCAAAUGCGAUGGUUCAACAAAUAGGGCUCUGUAAGUGGCAAAAAGUAACUUCCCCUAAAGCAUGGAGGUCUCAACGUCUGUUAU